CCCUCUGCCAGCAACGAGGGUCUUGACAGGGUGCACCGUCUCUUCGGGAUCAACAGCAACAACCUUUUUGCCUUUUGAUGAUCUUACUUUUAAAACUUUUCUCUUAACUACAUCUCUGCUUCCUUCUUUUUAUGUUCCAGGGUGCUAUUAAUUUUGCUGUUGGCAGUAUAAAAGAAAGAAUUUAGAGCAAUAGGUGGAUAUUUGACCAAUGCAAGCAAGCCCCACCUAGAUAGAGUUGAGCGGUUUAUUCAGGCCGUUGGAUCAUACGAAGAUAAAAUAUUUCAGAAGAGAGCGAGAUUGCAUCAGCGUCAAGCAGAGAGAAUAAAGCGUGAAAAGGCGCAAAGGAGAAGAGGGGAUGAUGCGGCCCCUCAAGCUGAACCUGAGUUGCUGGUUCCAGUUGCUCGAUUUCAGGGUUCUCGUCUUGCUUCAGGUCCCUCACCUGCCCCUUUAUCAGAUGGCCGGCGCUGGGAGCAAAAGAAAAUGGGAUGAAGAGGGUAAUGAGAUCUUGAUUCGCCCCAAUAAGGCUUCACGCUUCUCUUCAGGGGCCACAAUAGGUGCUGCAAUUGUUGAAGCUGAGAACGAACUUGAGAUUGAAGUGGAUGAAAAUGAUAAUAAGGAGGAACUGAAAAUAAAGCUAAAGGGGUUGCUCCGUGAGAAAAAUGAUGUUUUUAACUCAGAAAAUCCAGAAGAAGAUCAGAUCAAAUUGGGGGACCCAGGGUGGAAAGCAAGGUAUUAUGAGGAAAAAUUCUCUGCAAAAACUCCAGAAGAAAUUGAGACAAUACAAAGAGAUGUUGUCUUGAGAUACCCGGAAUGAUUAUGUUGGGUCAUGCAAUAUUAUUCUGAAGGGGUUUGUUACUGGCAAUGAAUUCGCUCGACUAAUUCCCAGAGCUCCGUGAACCCCCGGCGACGCACGGAGUGGGUAAUUACGCCAAAAGCGCUCCGGUGGCUCCAAUGGGUUUCAAACCUGGAAUCGGGUGGAUAUUGGAGCUCCUCCUUAACCACUGCCAGUAACGAGGGACUUCACAGCAUGCACCGCCUCAUCGGGAUCAACAGCAACAACCUUUUUGCCAUUUGAUGAUCUUACUUUUGGAACUUUUCUCUUAACUACAUCUCUGCUUUGUGGACAAAGUAGGGAGUCCAUAUCCCCAUCGCCGGUGGAUGACGUCGUGUAUCCAUCGAAAACAUUGGUCUUCAUUCACUUAGAACCUCCAUCCAUAUUAUGAAGAUUUCUCCAUUUUGGUUGAUUACGGAGAACAUUCCAAGUA